ACCACUUCUUGGCCUUUUGGCUAAGAUCAAGUGCAACAGUAUUUCUGAAGACUGUAUACUCAAAGAACUUGAAUUUUUAGUUGGCAUCUUUCACCUAUACUACAAUAUGUUUUCUUCUGUUUUUCCAUUACUUAGAAGCAAAGAGAACUUUCU
rnacentral:snRNA from 1 species